AUUGAACGCUGGCGGCAUGCCUUACACACGCAAGUCGAACGGUAACAGGUUAAGCUGACGAGUGGCGAACGGGUGAGUAAUGUAUCGGAACGUGCCCAGUCGUGGGGGAUAACUACUCGAAAGAGUGGCUAAUACCGCAUACGACCUGAGGGUGAAAGCGGGGGACCGUAAGGCCUCGCGCGAUUGGAGCGGCCGAUAUCAGAUUAGCUAGUUGGUGGGGUAAAAGCCCACCAAGGCGACGAUCUGUAGCUGGUCUGAGAGGACGACCAGCCACACUGGGACUGAGACACGGCCCCGACUCCUACGGGAGGCAGCAGUGGGGAAUUUUGGACAAUGGACGCAAGUCUGAUCCAGCCAUGCCGCGUGCGGGAAGAAGGCCUUCGGGUUGUAAACCGCUUUUGUCAGGGAAGAAACGAGUUUCUCUAAUACAGAGACUUAAUGACGGUACCUGAAGAAUAAGCACCGGCUAACUACGUGCCAGCCGCCGCAGUAACAC
rnacentral:rRNA from 1 species